CCUACGGGUGGCAGCAGUGAGGAAUCUUGGUCAAUGGGCUCGAGCCUGAACCAGCCAAGUAGCGUGAAGGAUGACUGCCCUACGGGUUGUAAACUUCUUUUAUAAAGGAAUAAAGUGAGGCACGUGUGCCUUUUUGUAUGUACUUUAUGAAUAAGGAUCGGCGAACUCCGUUCCAGCAGCCGCGGUAAUACGGAGGAUCCGAGCGUUAUCUGGAUUUAUUGGGUUUAAAGGGAGCGUAGAUGGGUUGUUAAGUCAGUUGUGAAAGUUUGCGGCUCAACCGUAAAAUUGCAAUUGAUACUUGAAGUCUUGAGUACAGUUGAGGUAGGCGGAAUUCGUGGUGUAGCGGUGAAAUGCUUAGAUAUCACGAAGAACUCCGAUUGCGAAGGCAGCUUACUAAACUGCCACUGACAUUGAUGCUCGAAAGUGUGGGUAUCAAACAGGAUUAGAUACCCCAGUAGUC
rnacentral:rRNA from 1 species